rnacentral:rRNA from 1 species
UUCCAGCCGCCGCGGUAAUUCGUAAGUCGCACGCGUUAUCCGGAAUCACUGGGCUUAAAGGGCGUGUAGGCGGCAGAUCAAGUCGGAUGUGAAAUCCCUCGGCUCAACCGAGGAACAGCACCCGAUACUGGUCAGCUAGAGUGCGAGAGGGGUGAGUGGAACUCCAGGUGUAGCGGUGAAAUGCGUAGAUAUCUGGAGGAACGCCGGUGGCGAAAGCGACUCACUGGCUCGCAACUGACGCUGAGGCGCGAAAGCUAGGGGAGCGAACGGGAUUAGAUA